rnacentral:rRNA from 1 species
GGGAUACCCGCUGAACUUAAGCAUAUCAAUAAGCGGAGGAAAAGAAACCAACAGGGAUUGCCUCAGUAACGGCGAGUGAAGCGGCAACAGCUCAAAUUUGAAAUCUGGCCCUUUUAGGGUCCGAGUUGUAAUUUGUAGAGAGUGUUUCGGGUGAGACCACGGUCUAAGUCCAUUGGAACAUGGCGUCAUAGAGGGUGAGAAUCCCGUAUGUGACUGUGGAUCGAGCCCAUGUGAAGCCUCUUCGACGAGUCGAGUUGUUUGGGAAUGCAGCUCAAAAUGGGUGGUAAAUUUCAUCUAAAGCUAAAUACUGGCUGGAGACCGAUAGCGCACAAGUAGAGUGAUCGAAAGAUGAAAAGCACUUUGGAAAGAGAGUCAAACAGUACGUGAAAUUGUUGAAAGGGAAGCGCUUGCAACCAGACCUGUCCGUAGGUGAUCAGCCGCUGUUCUCAGUGGUGCACUCGCUCUGCGAUCAGGCCAGCAUCGGUUCGGGCGGCCGGAUAAAGGCCUUGGGAAUGUAGCUUCCUCCGGGGAGUCUUAUAGCCCUCGGUGUAAUGCGGCCAGCCUGGACCGAGGACCGCGCUUCGGCUAGGAUGCUGGCGUAAUGGUUGUAAGCGACCCGUCUUGAAACACGGACCAAGGAGUCUAACAUCUAUGCGAGUGUUUGGGUGUCAAACCCAUGCGCGGAAUGAAAGUGAACGGAGGUGAGAACCCUUAAGGGCGCAUCAUCGACCGAUCCAGAUGUCUUCGGAUGGAUUUGAGUAUGAGCAUAGCUGUUGGGACCCGAAAGAUGGUGAACUAUGCCUGAAUAGGGUGAAGCCAGAGGAAACUCUGGUGGAGGCUCGCAGCGGUUCUGACGUGCAAAUCGAUCGUCAAAUUUGGGUAUAGGGGCGAAAGACUAAUCGAACCAUCUAGUAGCUGGUUCCUG